CUAUCAGAUGCUACGGCUAAUGUAUCGUCCUUACUUAUAUACAAUAUAUCAUUUACGUUACACGGCAUCUUCACCUCAAAGUCUUUUAAUCCUGUAUCACUGAAGAAUUUAACUGCCCAAUCAAGGUAGUAAGUAAACGUCAUUCUACCAUCUGGUAUCAUGCAACAGCCAGAGAUUAGUGUUCCUUGAGUUGUUAUUGUCUUGUUUAUCUUCAGCUUUAUAAUUUCAAUGGAUCUUGUUUGAACGGUUGGUACCAUUAUUUGCGCUUGUUUGGUCUUCUUCCUGCUGAGAACAAUGUCACAUGGUUUAGCUUCAA
rnacentral:lncRNA from 1 species